UACGUAGGGUGCGAGCGUUAAUCGGAAUUACUGGGCGUAAAGCGUGCGCAGGCGGAUGUUUAAGUCAGAUGUGAAAUCCCCGGGCUCAACCUGGGAAUGGCAUUUGAAACUGGGCAUCUAGAGUGCGUCAGAGGGGGGUGGAAUUCCACGUGUAGCAGUGAAAUGCGUAGAGAUGUGGAGGAACACCGAUGGCGAAGGCAGCCCCCUGGGAUGACACUGACGCUCAUGCACGAAAGCGUGGGGAGCAAGCAGGAUUAGAUCCCCUGGUACUCCACGCCCUAAACUAUGUCAACUAGUUGUUGGGUUCGUAAGUUCUUAGGGACGAGGCUAACGCUUGAAGUUGACCGCCUGGGGAGUACGGCCGCAAGGUUG
rnacentral:rRNA from 1 species